UUAGUAAUUUUAUUAUAGUCAUUUAUACCUAAUUUCCGUUUUGCGUGCAUGAUUGACCGAGCUGUCAAACUUUUCCUCUUGCGCGUGUUCAAUCAUGCUUCGUGUUGGCUGCAGUUCGGUAUCGGAAUUUUCCGCAUCAAAUCGCGUGUGUCCGUGUUUUUGUCACAUCCGGCGCUGUCUCAAGAAGGUGAACGAGUUCUGGGUGUUGGAUGGACAAAUCCUAACCGAAUCGGAUCGAAUGUUGAACAAGGAUAACCAGGCUCAGCGCCUGUUGCCGUCGAGGGUUCGUUCCGGAUGGUGAUCACCAACACGAAACGCAGCUCGUUUUCUUCAAGGACCAUUGAAAAGCGUGGACGUGCUGGGAUCGAGUGGCGGGGAGGCCAUCCCUGCAAAAGUCUUCUCGUUCUCGUAAAUACCGAAUCUGGCCUCGUGACUGUCGAGAACCUGAAGCAUGAUUAAAGUUCCACCUGCGACAUGUAUUAAAUCUUCCGGAAGCAGCACGUUGAGGCUGCUAGGCGGACUUUUUGAGGCAAAAAUCGUAGCAUCAAACAAACCAGUAGAUCAAUCCGGAAACCGGAGAAGGGACCGUUGGUUAGUACGGACGCACCAUUCGCUCGGAGAGAACCAAGAUCCGGACCGGCUUCAGCUGAUCGAGAGCUUGAAAUUAAAUCGCGAAAGAAAACGUCAAGAAGAGCUCAUCGUUUUUGUGAAAACAAUCAAAAGAAGAAAUCAAUCUGCAUAAAUAUUUGAUUAUUUAAAAUACUAAAAUAACCAUAAAAAUACAUUAAAACGAA